rnacentral:rRNA from 1 species
GACGAACGCUGGCGGCGUGCUUAACACAUGCAAGUCGAGCGGUAAGGCCCUUUCGGGGGUACACGAGCGGCGAACGGGUGAGUAACACGUGGGUGACCUGCCCUCAGCUCUGGGAUAAGCUUGGGAAACCGGGCCUAAUACUGGAUAUGACUCCAUGACGCAUGUUGUGGGGUGGAAAGCCUUGUGCGGCUGAGGAUGGGCCCGCGGCCUAUCAGCUUGUUGGUGGGGUGANGGCCUACCAAGGCGACGACGGGUAGCCGGCCUGAGAGGGCGACCGGCCACACUGGGACUGAGACACGGCCCAGACUCCUACGGGAGGCAGCAGUGGGGAAUCUUGCGCAAUGGGCGAAAGCCUGACGCAGCGACGCCGCGUGAGGGAUGACGGCCUCGGU